rnacentral:rRNA from 1 species
CGUGUCGUGAGAUGUUGGGUUAAGUCCCGCAACGAGCGCAACCCUUAUUACUAGUUGCCAGCAUUUAGUUGGGCACUCUAGUGAGACUGCCGGUGACAAACCGGAGGAAGGUGGGGGUGACGUCAAAUCAUCAUGCCCCUUAUGACCUGGGCUACACACGUGCUACAAUGGCGUAUACAACGAGUUGCCAACCCGCGAGGGUGAGCUAAUCUCUUAAAGUACGUCUCAGUUCGGAUUGUAGGCUGCAACUCGCCUACAUGAAGUCGGAAUCGCUAGUAAUCGCGGAUCAGCAUGCCGCGGUGAAUACGUUCCCGGGUCUUGUACACACCGCCCGUCACACCAUGAGAGUUUGUAACACCCAAAGCCGGUGGGGUAACCUUCGGGAGCCAGCCGUCUAAGGUGGGACAGAUGAUUAGGGU